rnacentral:tRNA from 1 species
GGAGAGAUGGCCGAGUGGUUUAAGGCGCACGCCUGGAAAGCGUGUUGGGGCGGAAGCCCCUCAGGGGUUCGAAUCCCCUUCUCUCCGCCA